rnacentral:rRNA from 1 species
AUUUUAUUAAAUCUUACUAAACCAAACUAAACCAAACACCCUAAUAUUAAGCUUUACGCAAAUACCUAAAACUCAGUACUAAAAGGAAACAAAAAUAAUUUAUAGUAGUGUAUUAACACGUACCUUGUGCAUUAUGGAUUUACAAGCUUUAAAUUUAAAAUAAUAUCCCGAAUUCUACGUGAGCUGUUUAUAAAUUGCUUAGAGCCCAUUACUAGUUGUAGCAUCAACUUUAAAAAAUUUAUUAACAGAGGCUACAUACCACCCGCACUAGAAAAUUGCUGGUCCUUAGAAAAAUUUAUAAAUUAAAGCAUGCAACCUUAUGCAAUGUUAAACUACAGAGGACAAGCCCUGUAAUUUAAAGCAAAUUAAUUACUUAUUACCCCACUAGGCCUAAUAACAGCCACAUACAAUACUUCACCGUAAAUAAAAAUAAAAUUAUUAAUCACACUGCCUCAAAAAUCUAAGACUGGGGAAAAACUUCUCAUCCCUUUAUAUUAUGUAAAUAUUAGUAU